rnacentral:rRNA from 1 species
GUGCCAGCAGCCGCGGUAAUACGAAGGGGGCUAGCGUUGCUCGGAAUCACUGGGCGUAAAGGGCGCGUAGGCGGCCGAUUAAGUCGGGGGUGAAAGCCUGUGGCUCAACCACAGAAUUGCCUUCGAUACUGGUUGGCUUGAGACCGGAAGAGGACAGCGGAACUGCGAGUGUAGAGGUGAAAUUCGUAGAUAUUCGCAAGAACACCAGUGGCGAAGGCGGCUGUCUGGUCCGGUUCUGACGCUGAGGCGCGAAAGCGUGGGGAGCAAACAGGAUUAGAUACCCUGGUAGUCC